UGGGUAGUCCGUACGAGCGCACCCUAUCCUUAGUUGCCAGCGAGUAUGUCGGGAACUCUAGGGAGACUGCCGGUGACAAACCGGAGGAAGGUGGGGACGACGUCAAGUCAUCAUGGCCCUUAUGGGCAGGGCUACACACGUGCUACAAUGGCCGGCACAGAGGGCUGCGAAGUCGCAAGGCGGAGCGAAUCUCAGAAAACCGGUCGUAGUCCGGAUUGCAGUCUGCAACUCGACUGCAUGAAGUUGGAAUCGCUAGUAAUCGCGGAUCAGAAUGCCGCGGUGAAUACGUUCCCGGGCCUUGUACACACCGCCCGUCACACCAUGGGAGUGGGCUGUACCAGAAGUAGGUAGUCUAACCUUCGGGGGGACGCUUACCACGGUGUGGUUCAUGACUGGGGUGAAGUCGUAACAAGGUAGCCCUAGGGGAGCCUGGGGCUGGAUCACCUCCUU
rnacentral:rRNA from 1 species